UACGUAGGGUGCGAGCGUUAAUCGGAAUUAUUGGGCGUAAAGCGCGUGUAGGCGGCAUGGCAAGUCGGGUGUGAAAGCCCUCAGCUUAACUGAGGAAGUGCGCCCGAAACUGCAGAGCUUGAGUGCCGGAGAGGGUGGCGGAAUUCCCCAAGUAGAGGUGAAAUUCGUAGAUAUGGGGAGGAACACCGGUGGCGAAGGCGGCCACCUGGACGGUAACUGACGCUGAGACGCGAAAGCGUGGGGAGCAAACAGG
rnacentral:rRNA from 1 species